GGCCCUAUCGUCUAGUGGUUAGGACAUCAGGUUUUCAUCCUGGCAACGGGGGUUCGAUUCCCCCUGGGGUCA
rfam:Parcubacteria bacterium GW2011_GWB1_45_7 TX16_C0011, whole genome shotgun sequence.